rnacentral:rRNA from 1 species
CCUACGGGUGGCAGCAGUGAGGAAUAUUGGUCAAUGGGCGCAAGGCUGAACCAGCCAAGUAGCGUGAAGGAUGACGGCCCUAUGGGUUGUAAACUGCUUUUGUCAGGGAGUAACGCGCGUCACGUGUGGCGUUUUGCAUGUACCUUAUGAAUAAGGACCGGCUAACUCCGUGCCAGCAGCCGCGGUAAUACGGAGGGUCCGGGCGUUAUCCGGUUUUAUUGGGUUUAAAGGGUGCGUGGGCGGCAUGUCAAGUUGGCGGUAAAAUUUCGGGGCUCAACCCGGGCGUGCCGGGGAAACUGGCGGUCUUGAGUGAGCGGGAAGUAGGCGGAAUUCGUGGUGUAGCGGUGAAAUGCUUAGAUAUGACGAAGAACCCCGAUUGCGAAGGCAGCUUACCGGAGCGCAACUGACGCUGAUGCACGAAAGCGCGGGUAUCGAACAGGAUUAGAUACCCGGGUAGUC